UACGUAGGGUGCAAGCGUUAAUCGGAAUUACUGGGCGUAAAGCGUGCGCAGGCGGUUGUGCAAGACCGAUGUGAAAUCCCCGGGCUUAACCUGGGAACUGCAUUGGUGACUGCACGGCUAGAGUGUGUCAGAGGGGGGUAGAAUUCCACGUGUAGCAGUGAAAUGCGUAGAGAUGUGGAGGAAUACCGAUGGCGAAGGCAGCCCCCCUGGGAUAACACUGACGCUCAUGCACGAAAGCGUGGGGAGCAAACAGG
rnacentral:rRNA from 1 species